GACGGGGGGGGCAAGUGUUCUUCGGAAUGACUGGGCGUAAAGGGCACGUAGGCGGUGAAUCGGGUUGAAAGUGAAAGUCGCCAAAAAGUGGCGGAAUGCUCUCGAAACCAAUUCACUUGAGUGAGACAGAGGAGAGUGGAAUUCCCGGUGUAGCGGUGAAAUGCGCAGAUAUCGGGAAGAACACCUAUGGCGAAGGCAGCUCUCUGGGACGGUACUGACGCUGAGACGCGAAAGCGUGGGGAGCGAACAGG
rnacentral:rRNA from 1 species